GGAAAAAGGAGAGUCUUCUGUACAACUUUCUGCUAAACAUGUGUAAAACUUACUUAAUUACUUCACAUUAAUACUUCCAUUAUUUGAACUAGAAGUUUCAUUUCCACAUCCCAUCUUGCAAUCCCGCUGCAAAGCCAAUAACCAAGAGUCCACCUGAAUCUUGGAAAUACUUGAGCAUUCGUAUCGCAGCCCCUGUCGAGUUGAAACGUAGAAUGCAUAUCUUACAUCUUCAUCUUCGCGUGUAAUGCUCGGCAGAGAACCCACUUCAAC
rnacentral:misc_RNA from 1 species